rnacentral:rRNA from 1 species
CAAAGGUAGCAUAAUCAUUAGAGUUUUAAUUGGAAUCUAGUAUGAAGGGUUAGACAAAGAAAAAACUGUCUUUAGAGUAAAAAUUGAAAUUUACUUUUAAGUGAAAAGGCUUAAAUGUAUUAAAGGGACGAUAAGACCCUAUAAAUCUUUAUAAGUAAUUUAAAUUUACUUAACUUAUAGUAAUAAAAAUUAAAUUUAAUUAUCUUAUUUUAUUGGGGUGAUAUGAGUAUAAAUAUUGUUAACUGCUUAGUAAAAAUUCUAUUAUAAUAGAGUGUUUAUUAUAUGAUCCUUAUUGAAGAUUAGAAGACUAAGUUACUUUAGGGAUAACAGCGUUAUUUUUUUUGAGAGUUCAUAUCGAAAAAAAAGAUUGCGACCUCGAUGUUGAAUUAAAAUGUCUAUAUAAUGUAGCCGUUAUAAAAGAAGGUCUGUUCGACCUUUAAAAUUUUACAUGAUUUGAGUUCAAACCGG